rnacentral:lncRNA from 1 species
AGAACUUGUGCCUGCUUGCUUUAAGUCCACCUAUUAAAACUCCCCAUGACAAAUCAGAUUACAUAAUGCCCUGGAUCACAACAAAGACACUGGCUUGUGAUUCUUCUUUCCUUCUGUCAAUGUGCUCCCUGACCUCUGCAUGGAUGUGCCCUCUAGGCAUGCCAUGUAUUUCCCCAAGAACUCAUCACUCUCUUCUUGCUUGAAUAUUUAUGAAUAGAAGUGCAAUGUAAUUCUUCCCCAUGCUCCUGUAUAGGUUAAAAUCCAUACACAGCCAGGAGCAACUUGUCGAAAAUUACCAUUUAAGUUUUCCUACCAGUUUAUUGUCUUAGCAGCUGCUGCUCAAGAAAACAGCUCAGUGACACAAUUAUAGCUCACUACAGCCUUGAAUUCCUGGCCUCAAGCAAACCUCCCACCUCAGCCUCCCGGGCAGCUGGGAUUACAAGUGCCAGUCACCUCACCCAGCAUGUUUUUUAAGAAGUGAUUUUGACAUAUAAAAGACAGUUUUUACUACAUAUUUUUUUUUCCUUUCUCUAUUCCACCAUGUUUGUCUCUAAGAUGAUGAGUACAUCUUGUGUAUUGCUAUCCAGACAUUAGAAAGAUAAGAAAUUAUCAAGCCUGUAGGGUUCAUGUGAACUAUGUGGUAA